rnacentral:rRNA from 1 species
AGAGUUUGAUCCUGGCUCAGAUUGAACGCUGGCGGCAUGCCUUACACAUGCAAGUCGAACGGCAGCACGGGGGCAACUCUGGUGGCGAGUGGCGAACGGGUGAGUAAUACAUCGGAACGUGUCCUGUAGUGGGGGAUAGCCCGGCGAAAGCCGGAUUAAUACCGCAUACGAUCUACGGAAGAAAGCGGGGGAUCGCAAGACCUCGCCGCUAUAGGGGCGGCCGAUGGCAGAUUAGCUAGUUGGUGGGGUAAAGGCCUACCAGGGCGACGAUCUGUAGCUGGUCUGAGAGGACGACCAGCCACACUGGGACUGAGACACGGCCCAGACUCCUACGGGAGGCAGCAGUGGGGAAUUUUGGACAAUGGGGGAAACCCUGAUCCAGCAAUGCCGCGUGUGUGAAGAAGGCCUUCGGGUUGUAAAGCACUUUUGUCCGGAAAG